UACGUAGGCAGCGAGCGUUGUUCGGAGUUACUGGGCGUAAAGGGUGUGUAGGCGGUUGUUUAAGUUUGGUGUGAAAUCUCCCGGCUCAACUGGGAGGGUGCGCCGAAUACUGAAUGACUAGAGUGCGGGAGAGGAAAGUGGAAUUCCUGGUGUAGCGGUGAAAUGCGUAGAUAUCAGGAGGAACACCGGUGGUGUAAACGGCUUUCUGGACCAUAACUGACGCUGAGGCACGAAAGCGUGGGUAGCAAACAGG
rnacentral:rRNA from 1 species